UUUACUUAUUUGCUUUUUCAUUAAGAAGUUUCAACAGCACACUAAUGAGGAGGUUUCUCUUAGUCAAAGAGGUUUGUUCUGGGUGUCCAUGUCCAGAUGCUGGGAGUGGGUGGCCUGCAGGGGUGGCCUCUGUGAGGAGAGGCCAGGGGCUGCCCCAUGCCAGACUGAGCCAGCCCCAACACACCCACCAUGGACAAUGCUGAACCCUUCAGCCUGGUGAUGCCUUGGGGAAAACGUAUUUAAGAAAGGGCAAAAUGUCACACAGCAGUGAGGAAAAACAACAAUGCUGUGAACAUCAAGGUCAGAGAAGAUGGAGAGGAGGAACUACUCCCAGAGCUGGAGCAGGACUAGGUGGAAGCAGAUGAAAACCAAUGGAACACUACAUACCUGCCUAGGAAAGGCCUUCAGGCUGUUCUUCACUGAACCAGCAUAUCCAAAAAGCCCAUGAGAUUUUUCAUCGCAUUUGCUUCCACUGUCCUACUGAGGAGGGAGAAUGAGUGAGCAGCUGGGUGGCACUGGGCUGCCAGACAGGGAUAACCUGCCACAACAGAAGAGCUUAGCUGGAACCAUGUGAGAUGACCUGAGUCAAUGAGAAAACAGCACAACAAUGCUAAGAUGUGCACUGAUUUGAUGUUCAGAUUGCUUUCCAUUUUCAUUGACAUUUCCUACAAGGUACACACAAGACCUUUUAGAAUAAAUUUUGGGUGAUUGAUUUGUUCUCCAUAUAUUUAUCAUCUUAGAUUUCCAAAUGCAUUCUUUGUUUUUUGUUUAAUUUUCGUUUUCGGGAGGACUAAUAGAUGAUAUAGGAUUCUAUUAAAAAUAGGCAAAGAAAAGGAAAAAAAAUAAAUAUAUUGGAGAUUCAUACAGGUGGUACUAAAAACCAAAAUGGAGUAAUCUUGAUUGUCUUGUCUUUUCUGAAUGCCCUUUACUAAGCACUGUCUACAUCUAUAUCUCAGUCACCAACCAUCAUCAAUAAAUCAUCAAAACUUGUCAGAAUAAUAGAAUCACAGAAUAUCUCAAGUUGGAAAAGACCCAUAAGGAUCAUCAAGUCCAACUCCCUGCUCCUUGCAGGACUACUUAACACUAAUCAGUAUGACUAAGAGCAUUAUCCAGACACUCCUUGAAGUCUGACAGGCUUGGUGCCAUGAUCACUUCCCUGGGGACUCCUUCACUAUGACCAACCACCCUCCUAGUGAAGAACCUUUUCCUAAUGUUCAAUCUGAACUUAACCUUGACGCAGCUUCCAUUUCCUCAUGUCCUAUAGCUGGUCACCAGAGAGAGGAAAUCAGCAUCUCCCCACUCCGUUUCAGGGUUGUCCUGCACAGGGACAGGAGUUGGACUCAAUGAUCCCUGUGGGUCCCUUCCAACUCAGGGCAUUCUAUGAUUCUAUGAUUGUCUCCCUUGAGAAAGUUGUAGACUGUGAUGAGGUCACCCCUCAGCCUUCCCUUCUCCAAGCUGAACAAGCCAAGUGACCUCGGGCACUCCUUGUAAGUCUUACCCUCAAAACCUUUCACCAACUUUCUCAUCUCCAGAUGCUCUCCUUUGGACACAGUGAAAUAGUUUGAUGUCCUCCUUGUAUUGAGAUGCCCAAAACUGCACACAGUAUGCUGUGGGACAAUCAUCUCCUUUAACCAACUGGGCUAUGCUGAAUGUGGUGCACCCCAGGACAUGGUUUGCCCUUUCAGCUGCCAGGGCACACUUUUGACUCAUAUUCAAAUUGCCAUCAGCACAAACCCCCAGAUGUCUUUCCACAGGACAAAUUGACUCAAUCCUGAACAACCUAGCCAUAAAGCACCAGGUUUAAAGCUGAUCUGAGGCACUGACUUAUGUCUUCCUCCCAGGUUCAGACAGCAGACAUCCCACUCACUUAAAAGCCAGUAGCUCGUAUGGAUACCAUCUCACCAAUUCUUCCUAACUUCUUCCAGCCAGAAAAGAGAAACAAAUCUGCCAGCUGCAGCCUGCUGUUUCCUCCAUCUGGGAAAGAGUGGCAGAAACAUGAUGGCUCAGUGCAGCCCUUUAACCUCAUGCAUGUGGGAGGGCACCUCAUAUGCAGCAGCAUUGGUGUGGGUUCAGAAAAAAGACCUUGGGGGCUUGGAAGACAGAAUUAUGUAGUUUCACAGGCCUACAUAUCUAUCUAUAAGAGUCUUCUCCAUGAUGUUUUCACACAGAGUUUGUUUUGUCACACAGCUUACUCAAUCAGGUUUGGGGCUAAAGGUUAUUUUCAUGUACCCUGAAGCAGUAAUGUUUUUAAACUAAAGGAGGGGAGAUUCAGGCUACACAUGAGAAAUAAUUUUUUUACAAUGAGGGUGGUGAAACACAGGUCCAGGUUGCCCAGAGAGGCGGUAGAUGCCUCAUCCCUGGAAACAUUCCAGGCCAGGCUGGACGGGGCUCUGAGCAACCUGAUCUAGUUGAAGAUGUUCCUGCUCAUUGCAGGGGGGUUGGACUAGAUGACCUUUGAAGGUCCCUUCCAACCCAAACUAUUCUAUGUUACAGUUAAAACAGGAGCUACCAAAUGACUAAUGAAACCUAAAAAAUGUUUAUAAAACAAAUAUAGAGCAAAAGAAAUUAGCAGCUUAAGUGAAAGAAGGAGCAAGAUCAAUUGAUUUCAGGGAUGUUUAAGAUUUUAACUUUAAUGUUUUUCAGUCCAUUACUAGACAAUUAUUAAUACGGUAGGUCUUCCAUUUAAUUGACAGGCACAAGAAAGAUUCAACACAUAUCGACCUAAUUUGUAAUUAAAUUCUGGAUUUAAAACAAAUCCACUUGAAACAAAGUAGAUGUUGCACAAAUCUCUUCACAGCAAUAAUGCAAAUAGAAGUGUUUAUACAAUGUAAAAUGCUAAUUUUGGGCACAGGCAAAGCAUCAUACAUGGCAAAAUUAAAUCCUUCAUAAUGAAAAACAUUCAUCCAAACUGGCUGUUUGCUUUGGGAAUAACUAGCAUUUCAAUCUCUCUUUCUAAAACAUAAUUUGUAUUGCCUAAAAUAUUUGGUAUACUUUUUCCAGCUAGUGAGCCCGAGAAAGAAUUCAGAUACUCAUUAUUCCUUAAGCAUUUUUUAUGAUUAAUGAUACCUAUACAGAAAUGCAGCUCCACAGAGCCAUUAAAAAAAUGUGUGGGCCUUCAUAAAAGAAAAAAAAAAAGUACCUGAAGAGGCAUUCAGACCAGGCAGGUAUGAAUUUUUGCACUAGAAACUCUAAUAAAAAUAAAGAAAAGUUUCCCUCACAUUUUUAAUUCCCUGAAAAACUGCAAAAUGGUACAAGAUACUGCCUUACAGAGGACAUUUCCCUGACUUUUCUGUUUCAUCUUUGAGCAUCAAAACUUGCAGUUAAAACAAAAAGGUAGACAAGAAAAAAGAAAAAAAGAAAAAAAAAAAAAGGCAGAAAUACACACACAGAUAAGACUCUACAGAUCAGAAUAUUAAGGAAUAAACUUUCACUAUUCUCCCAGAAAGGCUGCUACUUUGAUGUCAGAGCACCUGCUGUGAUGGAGGUCUUCUUUGAAAUGCUUAAGGUGAUGUGGUUUUAUAUAGCUCUGUAACAAGACCUUCUUGGAAAAUGAGAGACAUUGAAAGCUGCUGUUACGGGUAAUUCAGUAGGUGACCAGCUGAAUUGUACAUCCAGACACUUGUACUAAAAAGAAACCAGCCACAGGAGACAAAAGGGCCAAAUGGCUUCUUUUGGCAACAAUAUCAGCUGCCAAUGGCUUCCAAUACUGAAGGUAAAACUUACUUUCUUUGCACUGUUCAGCAAAAUAAAAGUGAUCCUGGUAGUCAGUACUGACUGCCCUAAUGGUAGAAGUAGGGUGUUAGGGUGUUAAACCGUUUUAACAACUUAACUAUUUUUUCUAAUUAGUCAUUAGACUAUUCUCUAGCAAAAAUAAAAGACUUGGAGAACUAUCUUCAAAGCUAAGCAAAGCCCACGGUUCAUUGAGCAUUUCACAAGAGUAGUCAGGUGCUUAAGUAUGGCCUUUGUCGAACCAGGGCCUUACUGUAAGUCAAUCAGUUAUGCACAAAGACAAGCAUAUUUUCAAGACCACUCCUUAAAAUACCACUGAAUAAAAGACAUUCAUUGAUGAAAAUAAAGAAAAAAAUCUUGUGGUAUGGCAGAACACAAAAGAAAGGUACCACACUACAGAAGUAUGGGGGGCAGGAAAGGGGAGUGGUAUUCACGAAAGAAAGCUUUUGGAUCAACUACGUGUAAGACAAAUUCAAAAUCUACAAAUAAUAGUUUAAGAAAUUUAAUCGUGGAUACAGGAUCAUUACAAUUAGCUGCACCUAACAUCUGAGGGUCUUCUAAAUGAAGAUACUAAAUAAUAAAUGUGCUAUUAGAUUAUUUUAUACAGACAGUGCCUUUUAUUUGCAUAUAUCAAAUACUUUCAGACUUUUAUUUAGUUUCACAAUAAAGCAAGGAGUAAGGCUGGCAUUUAUGAGCAAGACUGAUAUUCCGUGAGUGUGUAAGGUAAAUAUAUGAGGUAAUUAGGUUUUGCGUAGUCCAAACUUGAAUUAAAAAAAUUUAAAGGACAUGGUCCCGAGAAAUAAUAUUUUAAUUUUCUGAGUAAUUUCUUCUUCAGUGGCUACAUAGGAUUAGUAAAAUGUGUUACUAUUAAUUAUUGUAAUAUUUAUGUUUGCUAAUU